rnacentral:tRNA from 1 species
GGGCCUAUAGCUCAGCGGAAGAGCCACCGGCUCAUAACCGGCAGGUCCCAGGUUCGAAUCCUGGUAGGCCCA